AUUGAACGCUGGCGGCAUGCUUUACACAUGCAAGUCGAACGGUAACAGCACUUCGGUGGCUGACGAGUGGCGAACGGGUGAGUAAUACAUCGGAACGUGCCUAGUAGUGGGGGAUAACUACUCGAAAGAGUAGCUAAUACCGCAUGAGAUCUAAGGAUGAAAGCAGGGGACCUUCGGGCCUUGCGCUACUAGAGCGGCUGAUGGCAGAUUAGGUAGUUGGUGGGAUAAAAGCUUACCAAGCCGACGAUCUGUAGCUGGUCUGAGAGGACGACCAGCCACACUGGGACUGAGACACGGCCCAGACUCCUACGGGAGGCAGCAGUGUGGAAUGUUGGACAAUGGGCGCAAGCCUGAUCCAGCAAUGCCGCGUGCAGGAUGAAGGCCUUCGGGUUGUAAACUGCUUUUGUACGGAACGAAAAGCCCUCUUCUAAUACAGGAGGGUCAUGACGGUACCGUAAGAAUAAGCACCGGCUAACUACGUG
rnacentral:rRNA from 1 species